rnacentral:misc_RNA from 1 species
GAAAGUACCGGCCCCCCCGGGGGCCUUACCUUCAAACCACUGUGAAACCACCCGUUGCUUCGCGGCAGGGCGCCCCCCGGGGCGCCUCCGUCAGUCCGCAGAAGCCCAACACAAAAACCACUUUGUAACAGUCUGUCUGAACAACAUGAAUUAAAAUUCGUUA